GAUGAACGCUGGCGGCGUGCUUAACACAUGCAAGUCGAACGAUGAAGCCCAGCUUGCUGGGUGGAGUAGUGGCGAACGGGUGAGUAACACGUGAGUAAACUGCCCUUAACUCUGGGAUAAGCCUGGGAAACUGGGUCUAAUACCGGAUAGGAGCGUCCACCGCAUGGUGGGUGUUGGAAAGAUUUAUCGGUUUUGGAUGGACUCGCGGCCUAUCAGCUUGUUGGUGAGGUAAUGGCUCACCAAGGCGACGACGGGUAGCCGGCCUGUGAGGGUGACCGGCCACACUGGGACUGAGACACGGCGCAGACUCCUACGGGAGGCAGCAGUGGGGAAUAUUGCACAAUGGGCGCAAGCCUGAUGCAGCGACGCCGCGUGAGGGAUGACGGCCUUCGGGUUGUAAACCUCUUUCAGUAGGGAAGAAGCGAAAGUGACGGUACCUGCAGAAGAAGCACCGGCUAACUACGUG
rnacentral:rRNA from 1 species